GACCGCCCGCUUCAAGAGGAGCUAUUCACAAACACGCACGCAGCGAACUAACGGUGGAUUUCGCUUCAAAAAGUACGAAAACUGUAUUAAAUACAAACAGGAAGGAUUAUCUCAGGAGUGAUUUGUUCGAGGAUUCGAGGUCGAAAGAAUGCAGCGAUUGGUUUGGGCGUCUCUCCAGGAGGAGGCGAUUGGGGCUGUGUUAGAGGCAUGGCUCAUCAACGAUGUCUGGAAAAAAUCUCGGAAAAACACAGGUUGUAAAUCCCAGAGGAAAAAACGUGAACGCAAAAGACCUGGUACCCAAGGGCCUUCGGGGUAUCAGGGGGGCGUAUGUCCGGUGGGGCAGGGCCUGGGUGGGCCUUCGGAUUCAGAUAAGUCUUCGGGACCUCCUUCAGCCUCCUCUCCAUCUGCCUCGUAGGCAGGCAGGGCGGUGCUUUUGAAUUAUUUCCAGAUGUGAAUGAGCAUAAUUAACGAAAAUAAAAUCACAAUUGGAAACAAAAUGACAGACUUUGUCAAGCUUGAGCCGGAAAAUACAGACAAGGCUGAAAAAGCAGUUUCAGCUGUUGCACUCCUCUUUAAAAGAAACAGCUGUAUUGUAAGCCAAAAGAAUUGUUGUGUUUGAGAGAACAAUAUGUCUAUAUGCUGCCAUAGCAGAUUCAUGGCACAUUAAUAAGUCCCCGAACUGUUUUUAAUUUGUGCGUUUUACUCUAUGUACAGGUGUCGCGCAACCGCUUUUGUUUCAACCCAGCCAUAAAACGAAGGUAUUUAUAUUAUUCAAAGUGUCUGACAUUUUAAACUUAGAAUCAUUAAUUGAUGGCUAAUAUUUCGUUCUGCAAAAAAGUCAAGGAUAUUUAACUCAUAACUAUCGCUUAAGUGUAUUUUUGUUGUUUGUUACUGUCUCACUUUCUCUGAUAUGCUAGAUGAU